rnacentral:piRNA from 1 species
UGAACUUGAGGGUGUCCUACACAUGGCGAU